AAUAAGUGCAGUUUUGCAUUGUUCAUGUUAAACGUUCAAUGUUGGAUCGUUCGUCUUUUUUGAAAAUUUUUCUAUGAUUAAUAUUUUGUUUGUUAUUAGAUGAUAAAACAUGAAUAACAUUUUAUAUGUGACUUUUUUUUUAGUUUUUUCAUAAUUUUUUUUUGAAUAAGAUGUGCGGCUAAACGUUGGACACGGAUAUUUAAGGCUGUAAUUAUU
rnacentral:pre_miRNA from 1 species